rnacentral:rRNA from 1 species
CAGAGGGUGUAAACGUUGUUCGGAAUUAUUGGGCGUAAAGCGUACGUAGGCGGUCCAGUAAGUGGGGAGUGAAAGCCCUCGGUUUAACCGAGGAAGUGCUUUCCAAACUACUGGGCUUGAAUACUGGAGAGGGUCGCGGAAUUCCCGGUGUAGAGGUGAAAUUCGUAGAUAUCGGGAGGAAUACCAGUGGUGAAGGCGGCGACCUGGACAGAUAUUGACGUUGAGGUGCGAGAGCGUGGGGAGCAAACAGGAUUAGAUACUCUGGUAGUCCAUGUCGUAAACGAUGAGUGCUAGGUGUCGCGGGUAUUGACCCCUGUGGUGCCGAAGUUAACGUAUUAAGUACUCUGUCGUGGGGAGUAUGGCCGUGAGGCUA